GAAUGAAGGAAGCAUGAUAAUAUGCACAGAAAUUGAUUUCGGUCCCUAGGUUAGCCUUCUCUGAUGUCUCUUGGCUUCAAUUUGGGGGCACAGUUCCUUAGCAAAACG